UACGGAGGGGGCUAGCGUUACCCGGAAUUAUUGGGCGUAAAGCGCCCGUAGGCGGAUCGUUAAGUCGGGUGUGAAAGGGCAGGGCUCAACCCUGGAAUUGCAGUCGAUACCGGUGAGCUAGAGCGCGGUAGAGGUGAGUGGAAUUCCGAGUGUAGAGGUGAAAUGCGUAGAGAUUCGGAAGAACACCGGUGGCGAAGGCGGCUUGCUGGACCGUUGCUGACGCUGAGGCGCGAAAGCUUGGGGAGCGAACGGG
rnacentral:rRNA from 1 species